rnacentral:rRNA from 1 species
GACGAACGCUGGCGGCGUGCCUAAUACAUGCAAGUAGAACGCUGAAGGAGGAGCUUGCUUCUCUGGAUGAGUUGCGAACGGGUGAGUAACGCGUAGGUAACCUGCCUGGUAGCGGGGGAUAACUAUUGGAAACGAUAGCUAAUACCGCAUAAGAGUAGAUGUUGCAUGACAUUUGCUUAAAAGGUGCAAUUGCAUCACUACCAGAUGGACCUGCGUUGUAUUAGCUAGUUGGUGGGGUAACGGCUCACCAAGGCGACGAUACAUAGCCGACCUGAGAGGGUGAUCGGCCACACUGGGACUGAGACACGGCCCAGACGCCUACGGGAGGCAGCAGUAGGGAAUCUUCGGCAAGGGACGGAAGUCUGACCGAGCAACGCCGCGUGAGUGAAGAAGGUUUUCGGAUCGUAAAGCUCGGUUGUAAGAGAAGAACGAGUGUGAGAGUGGAAAGUUCACACUGUGACGGUAUCUUACCAGAAAGGGACGGCUAACUACGUG